GACGGACGCUGGCGGCGUGCCUAAUACAUGCAAGUAGAACGCUGAAGGAGGAGCUUGCUUCUCUGGAUGAGUUGCGAACGGGUGAGUAACGCGUAGGUAACCUGCCUGGUAGCGGGGGAUAACUAUUGGAAACGAUAGCUAAUACCGCAUAAGAGUAGAUGUUGCAUGACAUUUGCUUAAAAGGUGCAAUUGCAUCACUACCAGAUGGACCUGCGUUGUAUUAGCUAGUUGGUGGGGUAACGGCUCACCAAGGCGACGAUACAUAGCCGACCUGAGAGGGGGAUCGGCCACACUGGGACUGAGACACGGCCCAGAUUCCUACGGGAGGCAGCAGUAGGGAAUCUUCGGCAAUGGACGGAAGUCUGACCGAGCAACGCCGCGGGAGUGAAGAAGGUUUUCGGAUCGUAAAGCUCUGUUGUAAGAGAAGAACGAGUGUGAGAGUGGAAAGUUCACACUGUGACGGUAGCUUACCAGAAAGGGACGGCUAACUACGUG
rnacentral:rRNA from 1 species